GUCAACAUAUUCCAGCCACCUACAUAAUUACAAGUGGUUUCGUUAUUCAUUGACAUUAUAUUUCAAUAUCUGAAAGAUGAUGGGAAGCCAUGUGGAAGAGGCUGACUACUGAUCUGUACUUACAUAGGCAAGUUUUCUGUCCUUUUUUAUGUGUUCCAUGGAUCUUCAAUAUGAUGUUUCUUUCUAAGUUGAACUUUCCUGAUACACUACCUUUGAUUUUAUUCUCUUAAUUUAGCAUUUCCUGCUUUAUAUAGACAGACCUAUCUGAAGUUAGGUGGUUAAAUCUAAUACAAUUGUUGCUGUGAAGUUGUCUUGAUCCUAUUUUCAUACUUGUAUCCUUGCCAAGUUUCUUAGGAUUUGUACCUGGCAUUGGUUUAAUUAGGUUUCAGGUUAAUCAAUUUAUAGUUAAAUUAGCGGAUAUGCAUUUGUCAUUUACCAACGGUUUGUCUGAAGAUAAGGUCCUGUAAACAAAAUUCGAAGAGUUACUGGCACAUGAUUGUACCAGUAGUGAAAUACUGAAAUAUUCAAUUGGAUGUGCCUGGAACUAGUAUUCUCAGAUUGGAAAUGGAAACAUUUUAUUCCAAGUGCUCAAGGAUGAUAGGUGUUGGGUUUAGUUGGAACAUUUGGUUGGAUACUUCUAGUUUUAUAUGAUUCACGUGAAUACACAUACUUAUCUAUUGUUCGAGGGAACUACAACUGGUGUCAUUGCUGAGGAUGGUUGUUUCUUUUCCCUAUUCAAGUGGAAAGAAGCUUGCCCAGCAACUACCGAAACGAGGAUAUGUAAGAACAAUCUGAAUCGUUUCUUUAAUUAGAGAAAGUAUGUUAGAAUAAUGAAUCACUCAGAGAAGCUAAAGCUUGGUUUGGCUAUAUGAUAUUAUUUUGAUGCUAGGCUGUUAGGAAGUGAAAAUUUUGUAUUUCUGACUACGUAUUACAAUUUCUUUGUUCUUAAUGAGAUCAAGGUCCAAGUCAUUUUCUUCUAUAGUUAGAGCACUGUAUUUAUAGGAGAAAGUAACUGUUUUCUAUGUGCAAAGUUGUGAAAGGCAGAAUUGGCUGGAUGAAGCUGAUUUGAAAUGAAAUUUCUGACUAUAUGCAGACUCAUUGGAAAAUAGUUUCCUCAUUUUCAGGAUUAUCGUUUCCUGUAUCAUGCUAACAAUUUGAAGAAAAAUAGUGCUAUUUGUCCUACGUAAAUUAGUACUUGAACAUAGGCAGUUGGAUGAACAUUACUAGAGUUGCCUAGUUGCUUCUUAAGGCUUUCCUUCAUGUAAUUGAAGGUAUAUGAAGACGAUACCAGCAGUUCUGAAGAAAAGAGUGGACUUGUGGCUUGCCUGAAAUUGUUAAUUAUGAUCUCAUGUUAAUAUGAUUCCUAUGUGAUUGUAGAAGUGGAGGCCAGAGUGGAUGUAAUUCUUCUGCUGCAUUGCUUGCAACUUCUUUUAUACCAGUUAAUAAAUGAUUGUAGCUUCCUUUAGAUAAUUUUGGUGGUUAAAUAAAAUUUGUUACUUGUUUACCGCACUCCUAAAAAAGAUUCUUGCAUUUUUUUUUUGAACAACUUUCCUUAGGAUGAAAAUAUAUAUUUCAAUCUCUAGAUUCUUCCUAAUUUUGUAAUUUUAAUGUUGCAGAUUGGUACCUGGUAUGCAUCACACGAAAUGGUGAAGAAAGAUCAUGUAUGCAUAUACAUGAUGUUGAGGAAAUAUGAUGAAUGAGGUAAAGUUACAUAUGCUCUAGACAAACGAGGAAGAAGGUGAAAAAAGAAAUCCUUCUUUCUGAAUGUGUGUGAAUUCAUUGGUAUAUAAGCAUUUCAAUCUUAAAGGUGAUGCAUGGAACAUUGUUGCAUUUUCCGGGGGCCGUGCACGUGUCACAAGACCAUAUUCUCUUGGUCUCGUGACAAGUGUUUAUAGGCUGACUUAGACCUGCUAGGAAGCCACCCUAAGUAUGUUAGGUUUGCCAGGCUGAAGUUCCAAGCCACCGACACAAAAUCAGGGAUUGUAAGUCAUAGGCUAAACAAUAUCAUCCAUCUCUUUCUAUGACCUUCUCAUUUUCAGGUCUCCUGCUCUCUAGUAAUGGCAGGAUUUGAUUGCAAAUCCCUGGUAUGAUCAUUGAUCAACCAAUAUAAACUUGUUUCAGUUAAAGCCAACAUUGCCUUAAAAUGUUUUUUAGCCUUAUUAAUCUUGAGUCAAUAACAAAAGGGUUUAUAGGGAUAUCCUCAACAGACAAAAAACAGUUUCUUUUAUUUUUCUUCUUUUUUGGCCUUAAAUCAUUGGAGUUCAGUUCACCUACAUUAUUAGCUUGCAUGCAUGAUAGAAAAGUAGGCCUAAAUAAUUCUGAUUAUUCUAUGAAAAGCCAAGCCUCUAAAUUACAAAACAUAGAAAAAUAACAUUGUCAAAAACAAACUGACAUACACAAAAGUUAUUAUUACAGCCUCUUGCAUUGCAUGAUUUUGAUAUUCAAAAUCUUUGCUUCACAUGCCAUUGCCCCUUUGCCAUGCCCACGUCUUUCUGUUUUGAAUCUCAUCAAUGUAGCCGUCCCUACAACGUUUUAGUGUGGUCUUAUCUCUAAACUUAUCCUUCUUUGAGGGGAAGGGUAGUUUGGACUCUGAACGCCAUCAGAUUUUAAUGAUGUAAUAAAAAUAAAAUAUUACUGUUACUUAAAGUUUAGGAAAUUAAAGUCUAGUUUUUAGGUAUGAAGUAUGAAAAUUUUAGUUAAAAGAAAUGAGACCUAAACCUUCUUUAAUCAUUGGCUCCGCCAAAGCCCUGGGUAUUCGAGAUUUACUAUGUGCAAUUUUAUGCAUGGUUUCCGAAUCCUCUCAUGUGUAGUUGUCAUGAGUGGUUUUUAAUCCAGUUAGUUUAGUUAAUUUGUUGGCUUUAGUUUAGAUUGUAUUAAUUUUUAGUUUGUUUGUAAUGUAUAAUGGUUUGAUUCUAUUACUCAAACUCCUCGUUUAUAAUAAUUUGAUACUUGUGGUUAUUUGAACUUGGAUUUGUACUUCUUACCUUUUAAAAGAAAAAUGUUUAAAGUAUUUUUCUUCUAACUUUACUUUUACAAUUUAAUCAAAUUCAAAGUUUCUAUUUGUAUAAUUGUGCUAAAGUAAAAUUAAAAUUCAUACAUAAUUUUAGAAAUUAAAAAGAACUGCCUAUUUUUAUAUUCGUGUUCCCAAAAAUAACUACUCAAAAA
rnacentral:lncRNA from 1 species